AGAUGCUUUUGAAGAAGAAAACAAUGAAACCUUGGCUUCUGAAAUUCAACCUUUGUUAGUUGAGUCAGGUUUUCCUCAUCCCGUCAACAUUGAUAAUCGUUUUCAAGCUAUUAUGUCCUUGUGUCUGCAUGGAGUCAUCUUAUCCAGGAAGGCUGAAAUUGAUCAAUUGAUGAUCGGCUUAUGCCCACUUCUUGACGUAAUCAGAAGACAUCCAGACAAGAUGGAAACUUUAUUUGUGGCUGGUACUUGCCCACCUUUGACACUCCAUGAUUUUUUAUCUGUUGUUCAGUUUGAUAAUGUUGAGAUUCGCAUCAAAUAGUUUUUCACUCGGUAUCUUUCAUCACAAAGUUCUAGAAUUCCUAGUGUUUUGAUGUUUUCAACUGGUUGCAAAUCCUUACCUCCAAUGGGUUUUCAUCCAUCGAGUAUAACUAUUCUUCAAAAUACAUUCAUUUACCCCAAUGCUAACACAUGUCCAUUGGAAUUGGAAUUACCUGGUGAGGUAAAAAACUAUGAAGAGUUUGAAAGAAAUAUGGUCUCAGCCUUGAAUUUCCAAGAAGGUUUUGGAAUUGUAUAGAGGGUAUAUAAAACAGAACUAAGUUUUGUUAGAUUUGAAACUGUAUGUUGACUUUUACACUAUUAGUGCUGAACUUAAAAGUUACUAUAUCUAUUGCAUUUUAAAUGCUUCUUAACAAAGUCUUGUAUUGGA